rnacentral:rRNA from 1 species
GGGUCCGGACACACUGAGGAUUGACAGGCAAUAUUAAUACGUUUUGCUUCGGUAAACGCGUAUUAUGUUAAAUAUGCUAGUCCUUUCAUGAUUAUGUGAUAGGUGGUGCAUGGCCGUUCUUAGUUCGUGGAGUGAUCUGUCUGCUUAAUUGCGUUUCACUAAGGGCCUAUAAAUUUACGUGUGUUGCAUCGCACUUUGACCCCUUUCUUUAAUUAGAGAGCGCGUGUCUUAGUUUUCGCUUUGCUCAUACAAUUAGGUCCUGAAAGCAACGAACGUGACCGCAACCUCUUGUUGCCUUUAUACCAAACAUGUUUUGCGUCAAUUUUUACGAAUUGCGCGCAUUUCGUGAAAAAAGGCUUUUUAAACUAGAGGGACCGCUGUUACUUUCUUAAACCAGAGGAAGGUUGCGGCAAUAACAGGUCUGUGAUGCCCUUAGAUGUUCCGGGCUGCACACGUGCUACAAUGAUUAUUGCAGUGAGCAUCUCAUUUUUACACACCGCAUGCGCGAGUCCAUUUAUUCACCUUCGGGUGUUUUAAAUGUGUAUCUCUGCGCGCGGUAAAGCCUGCUUCGACAGUAAGUGGGU